UACGUAGGGGGCAAGCGUUGUCCGGAAUCAUUGGGCGUAAAGCGCGUGUAGGCGGCUAGGUAAGUCUGCUGUGAAAGCCCGGGGCUCAACCCCGGGAGGCGGGUGGAUACUGUCUAGCUCGAGUCCGGAAGAGGAGUGUGGAAUUCCUGGUGUAGCGGUGAAAUGCGCAGAUAUCAGGAGGAACACCAAUGGCGAAGGCAGCACUCUGGGACGUGACUGACGCUGAGACGCGAAAGCGUGGGGAGCAAACAGG
rnacentral:rRNA from 1 species